rnacentral:rRNA from 1 species
UACGUAGGGGGCAAGCGUUGUCCGGAUUUAUUGGGCGUAAAGAGCGUGUAGGCGGCCUUACAGGUCAGCUGUGAAAACUCGAGGCUCAACCUCGAGACGUCGGUUGAAACCGUGAGGCUAGAGUCCGGAAGAGGAGAGUGGAAUUCCCGGUGUAGCGGUGAAAUGCGCAGAUAUCGGGAAGAACACCCGUGGCGAAGGCGGCUCUCUGGGACGGUACUGACGCUGAGACGCGAAAGCGUGGGGAGCGAACAGG